GCGGACGGGUGAGUAACACGUGGGUAACCUGCCUCAUAGAGGGGAAUAGCCUUUCGAAAGGAAGAUUAAUACCGCAUAAGAUUGUAGUACCGCAUGGUACAGCAAUUAAAGGAGUAAUCCGCUAUGAGAUGGACCCGCGUCGCAUUAGCUAGUUGGUGAGGUAACGGCUCACCAAGGCGACGAUGCGUAGCCGACCUGAGAGGGUGAUCGGCCACAUUGGGACUGAGACACGGCCCAGACUCCUACGGGAGGCAGCAGUGGGGAAUAUUGCACAAUGGGGGAAACCCUGAUGCAGCAACGCCGCGUGAGUGAUGACGGUCUUCGGAUUGUAAAGCUCUGUCUUUAGGGACGAUAAUGACGGUACCUAAGGAGGAAGCCACGGCUAACUACGUGCCAGCAGCCGCGGUAAUACGUAGGUGGCAAGCGUUGUCCGGAUUUACUGGGCGUAAAGGGAGCGUAGGUGGAUAUUUAAGUGGGAUGUGAAAUACCCGGGCUUAACCUGGGUGCUGCAUUCCAAACUGGAUAUCUAGAGUGCAGGAGAGGAAAGGAGAAUUCCUAGUGUAGCGGUGAAAUGCGUAGAGAUUAGGAAGAAUACCAGUGGCGAAGGCGCCUUUCUGGACUGUAACUGACAC
rnacentral:rRNA from 1 species